rnacentral:rRNA from 1 species
GAUGAACGCUGGCGGCGUGCCUAAUACAUGCAAGUCGAGCGAACGGACGAGAAGCUUGCUUCUCUGAUGUUAGCGGCGGACGGGUGAGUAACACGUGGAUAACCUACCUAUAAGACUGGGAUAACUUCGGGAAACCGGAGCUAAUCCCGGAUAAUAUUUUGAACCGCAUGGUUCAAAAGUGAAAGACGGUCUUGCUGUAACUUAUAGAUGGAUCCGCGCUGCAGUAGCUAGUUGGUAAGGUAACGGCUUACCAAGGCAACGAUGCAUAGCCGACCUGAGAGGGUGAUCGGCCACACUGGAACUGAGACGCGGUCCAGACUCCUACGGGAGGCAGCAGUAGGGAAUGUUCCGCAAUGGGCGAAAGCAUGACGGAGCAACGCCGCGUGAGUGAUGAAGGUCUUCGGAGCGUAAAACUCUGUUAUUAGGGAAGAACAUAUGUGUAAGUAACUGAGCACAUCUUGACGGUACCUAAUCAGAAAGCCACGGCUAACUACGUG